rnacentral:tRNA from 1 species
GCGAGUCUCCAACCUUCCUGCUUGAUACGCAAGAAAAAGUAGGCUACUUUCUACUGUCU